CACGCACGCACACACACACGCACACACACACCUUGUACUCUCUGAUGUUCGCACUGCUCGGCGCCCCUGUGGAUUGAAAAACGCGCUGAAUCCGUGCAGACUCAGAUAAGGGGAGGAGCCGGAACUUGAUGCAGCUUGCCACCGUCUCAAAUGAGUUUUUAAAGGGGACUGAAGCGAUCACUAAUUAAUUAAUCAAAUAAUUUUUUAGGGGGGCUGGGCAUAAGUUUAGGGGGGCUGAAGCCCCCCUAAAAAGGGCCUAGCGACGCCCCUGGACUAUUCCACGAUGCCGAUGACAUGGGGGAUUACCCACAAAGCCAAACUCCUGAGGUAAUAAGGAACAGUUCGUGAGACGCACAGCAAUCUGAGCAGACUCAUAAAUGGAGCAGUGUCCAAAGUCCACCUCAGUGUGGUCGAACCGCAGUCCAUUGUCAGUUCUCGUCGUGUUUAUACCAGCACACUCCAGAUGGAGCCUGAUGCGAUAUAAGAGCCAGAGCAGACACCUGAUCCAUAAAAUCACCUGGAAGCCUAAACCUACCACGUCUGCUUAGGUGUAUGAACUGGCAACAUCGCCAGUUUCUGUGGACCUAUGAGAGGAAUAUGAGGGGAUGGAGUGGAGCCUGUUUCAUUAGCAAACACCCAACAAUCAAUAAAAUCUGUGUUCCUACCCCCUCCCA